CGGUCGCAGUAAUCUCCGCCAGAAAAAAAAAUGUCGAACAAGGUAACGCACUUCUAGGGUUUAAGACGCAGGUACUUCCGGCCAAAUCGCGCUCUUCUAUACGCAGCUACGCCACCUUCGCUAGGUUUUAGUAAAGAGAAGGAACCUACAAUGAAGAAGAAGUAGAAGAAGAAGAAGAAGAAGACGAUGACAUUGAUGAAUAGGUCGCCCUACGUCUCUCUCUUGUCCAAAGCCCUUGCCUUCGUCCCUUGCUGUCGUCCGGCCGAUGCUGCCCUUUUUCUAGCAACCCAUUCUUACUCCGCCGCCUCCGGUGCUCCACAGAGCAGCCUUAUGGCUGAAUACCUGGUCAGCUCCUGUGGCUUCGAUCCUGAUCAGGCGGCCAAAGCCUCGAAGCUCCUUGGCCACGUUGAAUCCCGCCACCAGCCUGACUCCGUCCUUGGCUUAUUUAAAAGCUACGGUUUUGACAACACCCAGGUGAAAAAGGUCAUAUCUGCAAACCCCCGGUGGCUUCUCCUCGACGUGGAGAAGACCCUGGCCCCAAAGUUCCGAGCUUUGCAGGAUCUGGGCUUCUCCUGCUCCGACAUCACCCACCUCGUCAGAUCGAAUAUCCAUGUCAUCAGCCACAAAUCCCAGACCAUCUUGUCCAAGAUCCAAUUAUGGCAAGGCCUCCUCGGGUCCAACGACUUACUGAUGAACUUGUGCAAGAAAAACAGGAGGUUUCUCGGGUAUAGCAUCGAGAAGACGAUCCGGCCUAAAAUUGAAAUUCUAAGGGAUUGCGGGAUGACGGAUCAGAAGCUCUCAAUGAUCCUAAGGCAAUAUCCCCACCUCAUAACCCGGAAUGCUGAAACCCUGAAGGCGUUAAUCAGUCGUGUCGAGGGUUUGGGAGUAGCUCGCACCUCAGGGAUGUUCCCCUUGACCCUGACUGUGCUCCACAACGUCUCCGAGAAUAACUUCAAGGCUCACUUGGAGUUCUUCAAGGGCUUCGGGUGGUCCGAGGAUGAUUUCCUUGCUGCAUUCAGAAAGGCUCCUACGUUUGUGCAAAUUUCUUUAAAGAGUUUGCAGAGGAAGAUGGAGUUCUUGGUAAAUGAAGCCGGAUGUGCUCCAUCUCAUCUUGCACUUCGGCCAGAUAUUUUGUUGUGCAGUUUGGAGAAAAGGUUGAUGCCAAGGCAUCAGAUUGUGACAGGCCUGAAGUCUAGAGGAGUUUGCAUCAGUAACCUUAGUAUGUCUACAUACGUGAAAUAUUCAGAGAAGAAAUUUGUGGAGAAGUUCGUCAACCGCUACAAGGAGUAUCCAGAACUCAUUGAGUUGUAUAAUGGAGUCCCCAAAAACAGAACUGCAUUUGAUCGUGGAAAUGCAUAAUGCAUAGCACAAGCUUUUGUACCAGCAAGUUAUGUUUCCAGGUUCCAAUUUUCCACUAUCCGCAUAACAUGAUCUACAAUUUGCGACCAAAUAAUUCCUGCCAUUUACUUCGUUUUCUGUGAAUGUAAGAUGAGUUUGGAUGCUUACAUGUAGUAAGAAAAUGAAGAAUGUUGAGAAGAUUUGUGAUGAUAUUGCCGAUAGAGUUAAUUGCUUGUUGAUAAUCACUUGUGUAGAUGCCACAUGGAAUUGUUAUUCUUGUCCCAUUCGUUUUAAGUCUACUGGAAGAUAUCAGACUUAUGUAGGUUAUUGGACACUUGAAGUUUUGAUUGAUUUAACUAUGGAUAUUUGGUAAGUUAGGUUUCGAGUUUUGGUUAUUUUUUCAAAUGAUAAGAAGUAGGAUUCUCUUGGAUGGUAUGGUAGGAUGCUUUGGUGAUUUUGAGUUGGAUGAUGAGGCUUUUGAUUUAGGGCAAGGGUUGGUCACCUUUUAUAUAAAUUUACUAAAGUCCCUCCUAUCCAAAACCAAACCCAAAACCCAAAAAAGGUAGAUGAGGAUGCGUUUCAAUUUUUUGUAUAUUUUGUUUAUCAAACUUUGUUCACUUUCUUAAGUGAUUAGUUUGAACCACUUCUUUCCUCUUGCUGAUCGGUCAAUUCAGUUGAAAUUUCUCUCUUUAUAAAUGCAAAACUUUAAUGAAUACCAGGUUGCCACCAUGAUAGUUUGAAGCUGACUGUCUUCUUGAGAAUGAAGUUGAAAGUCUUAGAUUUAUGAAGGAAACUACACUUUCCGUAUUGACAAUGUUUUGUUCUCAAUUUAAGCACUGGAAUAUACAAGUUGUCCGUUACCAAUUUAAGCAUUUGAAUACGGGGGUGGUCUAAACUUCAUGCACUUCAGCUCAGACAGGCCAACUCCAAGUGGUCCGGCCUGAGCGACCAAGUUCCACGUGGCUGCAUAAGGUAGGUACUUGGUUAAAUUAAACUGAAGCACUGCUUACUCUUGUUGAGUUAUCGGGAUCAAGAGAAGUUUUAGAUGACUUGCACCCUAUCGCAUGUUGAUCAUCGUAGAGAUGUUUUGCUAACAAAGGCUUGACUCGCUAUCAGCGAAGAAUUAUACAUGUACUGUACUGCCUCAGAACUAGCUGCAGGAUAUGGUCAGGUUCUUUCAGUAGGAAAAGACUGAUGCUCUUUGCAAGGCUUGAUACUUUUUGUGGGGGAUUUUGUCUCUAAAAGGACUGAGAUCCUUUCAACUUGUAGAACUAUAUAUGUUCUAGGAUUUUAUGCCCUCUAAAAUUGCUCGCUAAACAAGAUCAAUUUAUUUUUUCUCGUUAUUAUCAGGUUUUGUUGGUAA